UACGUAGGUGGCGAACGUUAUCCGGAAUUAUUGGGCGUAAAGGGUGCGUAGAUGGCCUGAUAAGUUAGCAGUGGGAAAUCGAGGCUCAACCUCGUGGAAGCUGGUAAUACUGUCAGGCUCGAGUGCAGGAGAGGUUAACGGAACUCCAUGUGGAGCGGUAAAAUGUGUAGAUAUAUGGAAGAACACCAAUAACGGCGAAGGCAGUUAACUAUUCUGUUACUGACAUUGAGGCACGAAAGCGUGGGGAGCAAACAGG
rnacentral:rRNA from 1 species